rnacentral:rRNA from 1 species
AAACUGAAGAGUUUGAUCAUGGCUCAGAUUGAACGCUGGCGGCAGGCCUAACACAUGCAAGUCGAGCGCGAAAACACUUCGGUGUGAGUAGAGCGGCGGACGGGUGAGUAAUGCUUGGGAAUCUGCCCAGUAGUGGGGGAUAACGUGUGGAAACGCACGCUAAUACCGCAUACGUCCUACGGGAGAAAGCAGGGGAU